AGGCGUGAGCCACCGCACCCGGCCGAUAUUACAAAAUCUUUCCUGAGGCUGGAAGUCCAGAAGUCGGGGUGCUGGCAGGACGUGCUCUUCUGAAGCCUCCAGGGCAGGGCCAGCCGCAUGCCCGUCUCCUCGCUUGGGCACCUGCCAGCGGUCCCCGGCGGUCCCCGGCUCAUUGCUGCAUGGCUCCAACGUCCGCCUCUCCCACCAUGUGGCCUCCUCCUGGUGUCUCUGUGUCCAAAUCUCCCGCUCUGUCUAAGGAUAACAGUCACUGGUCAUGGGACCCAUCCUAAUCCAGGGUGACCUCGUAUUAACCUCAUCACAUCUGCAAAGACUAUUUCCAAGUCAAGCCACACUCCCAGCUGCUGGGGGCGGGACUUGAACAUAUUUUUUGUGGGGACACAAUUCCCCUCUCAGGUUUUAAGAUUUGUCUUUAUCAUUAAAGUUUUCAAAACUAA
rnacentral:lncRNA from 1 species